UGAGUCUUUAGCUCAGCUGGUUUAGAGCAUCACCUUGACAGGGUGGGGGUCGGCGGUUCGAAUCCGCCAAGACUCACUUA
rnacentral:tRNA from 1 species